GGAAUGCUUCAUUCCCAGCGACUGGCAACCCAUGGACUUAAGGAAUGAAAAAUACAAAAUUGUGUGUCUCAAUCCUCUAAGCAAGGAGUUCGGAAAGUUGUUAAUCCAGGGGAUCGCCGUCCUCUCGUUAUAUUAAAGAACAUCGUCGAUCGUUGAAAUAUUCAGAAUUGUGUCGGUUUAUUACUUAAACUUAAGGUACGUAAUUUUUUUUAUUUUAAUCAUAAACAGUGAUAUUCGUAGUUGUAUCAGUUUAUUGCUCAAAAUCCUUUAAAUAUGGUAGAACUUCUACCAAUUAUGUCAGUUUAUUAUCAAAUAUUUAACAUAAAGAGUAAAAAGCGCAUUCGCCAACCAAGUAAAUGGAAACAAUACAGCAAAAAGAUUAAGCAAUUCUGGUAAGUCUAAUGUUUCAAUGUCUAAAUGUAGAAGAGUUGUUGAGGCUCGAAGUAUUAAACCACCUUGCCUUGAGAAAUGUCGGCUAAAGUGCAGGAAGAAAAUCAGUGAGGAUGCAAGAAAUAUAAUUUUUAACAAAUUUUGGGAGCUGGCAGAUAUUAGGUAAUAAACAGAGAUUAUUUAUUAAUUCUAAUACUAAAGAUCUCAUACCAAGGUUCAAAUAUACGAAUGCUGCAAAUCCAAGAAUUAACAAUAAGGCAUUUUUCUUUACUAUUGAUGACGAACAAAGAAAAGUAUGUAAACUUUUUUUUAAAUACUUUGAGCAUUACGGAUCUUAUGGUACGAACAACUUUUAAAAAAGUAGACCAACAUGGCUUCAUAAAAGAUGAUAACCGAGGAACGCAUGGCAGUCAUACCGAAAUUAGUGGAGAACUUGUACAAGAUAUAAAAGAUCACAUUAAUUCGAUACCAUGUAUCGAAUCCCACUAUCUCAGAACUAAUACUUCACGUGAGUAUAUCGAUGGGGGAAAAGUGUAGCAGAACUUUUCAGAGACUUUAAAGAGAGUCAAAUACAGAAAAAUAGAUCAUUUGGCAAAUACUGUACAUUAAGGUUUUUACGACUCAUUUUAAUAUAGGGUUUUUUAAGCCCAAGAAAGAUCAGUGUGAUCUGUGUCUUUCUUAUAAUAAUACAAAUGAGGAAGCAAGACAAAACAUACUUAAACAAUACGAAACACAUCUUGAAGAAAAAGAGUUGUGUAGGAAAGAAAAAUAUAUUGAUCGCCUUCAUAUAGAAGACAAUAAAAAAAGUUGUUAUUUAUGACUUGUAGGUAGUGCUUUCGUGUCCAAGGGGUGAUAUAUCUGCGUUUUAUUACAAGUCGAAACUUAAAGCAUAUAAUUUUACUUUGGUUGAACGAAAUAAAAUAGAUCCAAAUAAUGAAAAAUAAGCAAGCCUAUAGUGAUGUUCAUUGUUUCUAUUGGAACGAAAGAGAUGCAAAACGUGGUUGCAGUGAAAUCGGUUCUUCUUCUAUACUAUAAUGAAGUAUUUUGAAAUAUCCAAAAAUGCCAACUUUUCAGAGAGAGAACCGGAAGUAACCUUUUUCUCGGACAACUGCUGUGGACAAAAUAAAAAUAAAAUUAUUGCCACCUUAUAUUUAUAUGCAGUAACUCUAAAAUAUUAAAGUUAUAACACAUAAGUUUCUGAUUAAGGGUCAUAGACAAUGUGCAUAGUCUAAUUGAAAAAUAGAUUAAAAGGAAUCUAAAAUCUGGCCCCAUAUAUUCGCCCCAUCAGUACGUGUCUAUAA
rnacentral:lncRNA from 1 species